rnacentral:rRNA from 1 species
UUUUUUAUGGAGAGUUUGAUCCUGGCUCAGGAUGAACGCUGGCGGCGUGCCUAAUACAUGCAAGUCGAGCGA